AGUGAACGCUGGCGGUAGGCCUAACACAUGCAAGUCGAACGGCAGCACAGUAAGAGCUUGCUCUUACGGGUGGCGAGUGGCGGACGGGUGAGGAAUACAUCGGAAUCUACUUUUUCGGGGGGGAUAACGUAGGGAAACUUACGCUAAUACCUCAUACGACCUACGGGUGAAAGUAGGGGAUCUUCGGACCUUGCGCGAUUGAAUGAGCCGAUGUCGGAUUAGCUAGUUGGCGGGGUAAAGGCCCACCAAGGCGACGAUCCGUAGCUGGUCUGAGAGGAUGGUCAGCCACACUGGAACUGAGCCACGGUCCAGACUCCUACGGGAGGAAGCAGUGGGGAAUAUUGGACAAUGGGCGCAAGCCUGCUCCAGCCAUACCGCGUGGGUGAAGAAGGCCUUCGGGUUGUAAAGCCCUUUUGUUGGGAAAGAAAAGUAGCAGGUUAAUACCCCGCUGUUCUGACAGUACCCAAAGAAUAAGCACCGGCUAACUUCGUG
rnacentral:rRNA from 1 species